UACGGAGGAUGCGAGCGUUAUCCGGAUUUAUUGGGUUUAAAGGGUGCGCAGGCGGCACGGCAAGCCGGCGGUCAAAUCGCGGGGCUCAACCCCGCCCAGCCGUCGGAACUGCCGGGCUAGAGUGGGCGAGAAGUGCGCGGAAUGCGUGGUGUAGCGGUGAAAUGCAUAGAUAUCACGCAGAACUCCGAUUGCGAAGGCAGCGCACAGGCGCCCUACUGACGCUCAGGCACGAAAGCGUGGGUAUCGAACAGG
rnacentral:rRNA from 1 species